AGGUCGUGAUGUGGACACUUGCGCAAUAAGUCCUUGUAUCUCGUUCAUGCCUCAUAUAAUGAUUCACCUUCAAAUUGGGUGAAGGUUGUAACAUCAUUCCUUGACUU